AAAAAGCAGAGAGAUGAAGUUAAGGUAUAGAGUUUUCACUAGUUUUAUUUUUGCUUGCUUUCUUGUUUGUUCAUGCAAACAGUGUUAUCAACUUAAAAUAAUGGGCUAUAAGAUAGUAUUUGCAAACUCAUGUCAAUCUCAUAUAAAAAACAUAUAAUGGAUCCCCAAAAACAUAACAAGCAGGCAAUUAAAUUAUUCUAGCAGAGAACAACAGGUGCUGGAGAGGAGGUGGAGAACUAGGAACACUUUUACACUGUUAGUGGGACUGUAAACUAGUUCAAUCAUUGUGGAAAACAGAGUGGUGAUUCCUCAAGGAUCUAGAACUAGAAAUACCAUUUGACCCAGCCAUCCCAUUACUGGGGAUAUACCCAAAGGAUUAUAAGUCAUGCUACUGUAAAGACACAUGCACACGUAUAUUUAUUGUGGCACUAUUCACAAUAGCAAAGACUUGGAAUCAACCCAAAUUUCCAUCAGUGACAGACAGGAUCAACCCAAAUGUCCAUCAGUGACAGACUGGAUUAAGAAAAUGUGGCACAUAUACACCAUGGAAUACUAUGCAGCCAUAAAAAAGGAUGAGUUAGCAAACUAUCACAAGAACAGAAAACCAAACACCGCAUGUUCUCACUCAUAGGUGGGAACUGAACAAUGAGAUCACUUGGACUCGGGAAGGGGAACAUCACACACCGGGGCCUAUCAUGGAGAGGGGGGAGGGGGGAAGGAUUGCAUUGGGAGCUAUACCUGAUAUAAAUGACGAGCUGAUGGGUGCUGACGAGUUGAUGGGUGCAGCACAGCAACAUGGCACAAGUAUACAUACGUAACAAACCUGCAUGUUAUGCACAUGUACCCUAGAACUUAAAGUAUAAUAGAAAUAAAUAAAUAAAUAGAUAGAUACAUAAAUAAAUAAAUAAAAGAAAAUGUGGCACAUACACACCAUGGAAUACUAUGCAACCAUAAAAAAGGAUGAGUUUGUAUCCUUUGUAGGGACAUGGAUGCAGCUCACGGCAUGUUCUCAUUCAUAGGUGGGAAUUGAACAAUGAGAUCACUUGGACACAGGAAGGGGAACAUCACACACCGGGUCCUAUUGUGGGGAGGGGGGAGGGGGGAGGGGGGAGGGAUAGCAUUCGGAGAUAUACCUUAUGUAAAUGAUGAGUUAAUGGGUGCUGCACACCAACAUGGCACAUGUGUAUAUAUGUAACAAACCUGCACGUUGUGCACAUGUACCCUAGAUCUUAAAGUAUAAUAUAUAAAAAAAAAAGAAAUGCCUUCAUGGGACUGACGCAGAUUAAAAUUAUUUAACAUAUU
rnacentral:lncRNA from 1 species